GGCUCACUGGAAAGAACCUGACUGGUACCCAUGAGGACUCAGGUUGGACCCCUGGCCUCGCUCAGUGGGUUAAGGAUCCAGCGUUGCCGUGAGCUGUGCUGUAGGUGGCAGACGAGGCUCGGAUCUGGUGUUGCUGUGGCUGGGGUGUAAACCAGCAGCUGUAGCUUGAGAACUUUCAUAUGCAGCAGGUGCAGCAAAAAAAAAAAAAAAAAAAAGCCGAAAAAGAUACAUGUACCCCUAUAUUCACUAUUCAUAAUAGCCAAGACGUGGAAACAAACUUAAAUAUCCAUUGACAGAUAAAUGGAUAAAGAAGAUGUGGUCCAUAUACACAAUGGAAUACUACUCAGCCACAAAAAAGAACAAAAUAAUGCCAUUUAUAACCAUAUGGAUGAAACUAGAAAUUCUGUAAGUGAAGUCAGUCAGAAAGAGAAAGACAAAUACCAUAUGAUAUCAAUUCUAUGUGGCAUCUAAAAUAUGGCACCAAUGAUCCUCUCUGCAGAACAGAAACAGAUUCACAGACACGGAGAACAGACUUGGGUUGCCAAGGAGGAGGGGGAGGGAGUGGGCUGGAUGGGGCGUUUGGGGUCCGUAGAUGCAAACUGCGACACUGAGAAUGGAUCAGCCAUGAGGUGCUGCUGUCCAGCACAGGGAACUCUGUCCAGUCUCUUGGGAUGGACCAGGAUUGGAAGAGAAUACGAGAAAGGCAAUGGAUAUACCCUAUGACGGGGUCACUUUGCUGGACAGCAGAAAUGGACACAGGAGACAGGCCUCGGAAGGGACCAGCCCUGCCCACACCUGGACCUCGGAUUCCGGUCUGCAGGACAAGGCGAAAUCCAGUCUGUCGUUUCGAGCUGCCCAGUUGGCGGAAUCUUGUUAUGGGAGCCCCAGAGCCGAGACAAGAGGUCUUUUCCUGCAAAGUGAGGUGCAGGGAUCUGCAGCCACAAAGUCUCCCAGGAGCUGGUGAAACGUGCCCCGUCCUGGACCCACCUAAGCCUGACACAGAAAUGUCUCUGUGUCCCUUGUGUGCCAAGGGAUCGCUCUAGGAAGGCUGGUUUAGGACACGCCAUCCAAUGAAGCCUCGCAAGACAGUCGGCAGAGUUUUUCUCAAGGGUUCGUUCCGCAGCAGACGUCUUGCCUUUUUUUUUCAGGUCACAAUGUCGUCCUCCGUUGUGACCCGGUAUUUCUCUUCCUGGGGACUCCGGGAGCUGGUGCAGAGGGCCUCCACCUGCGAUGUGCCAGAAGGGCCCUUGGGGGUCCGGGACCCCUGGUGGACCUUCUGGGGCGAGGCUGGGCGGCUCUCAGGGGCUGAGGUCAAGGAGGAGUCGCGGGGCGUGUCCAUCACCCACUGUCUGGACGUUCACCUUGAGCUGUGCAGGGUGAGAGCUGAGCUGUCUUUGAGAAGAGCCCUGCCAUCCUGCUGGAAACCGAAACAUCAGGAGAAACUAGAAACUCUGGGUUUGCUCAUCCAGCUGUUCCAGGAGGAGGAGUUUGAACCCCGCCAACCACACACCAGACCUGCUGAGAGCAAUUCCCCCUUGAGCUCUCCCAAACCUGAGCUGCUUCCCCGGGCAAAUGCUUUCCUUUCUCCGCUCCGAGACUCUCACCAUUCUGGGAAAGAGACGCCAUCCUAUGCUUUCUGGACACAUGCAUGUAUUUUUAAAUUAUAUGUUUGUUAAAGACAGUCGAACCAGAGGCAAAGGGGGAACUUGGAAUGUGCCUGGAAGGAAGUCAGGAUUUGUUUUCUGGGAGUUGCUGCUCCAGCUCGGUUGCAAUCCCUCGGUGCAAGGCCUCAAAAGCAAGAUGGUCCUGCAGAUGGAUGGCUCACGAAGUGGCUUAAUCUGUGACAGCUGAGCCCGGGAGAAUGAGUUUAAACUAACCCACACUUCAGGGAACCCGUAAAAGCCUACAUCAAGAAAUGAAAGAGGAGUUCCAUCAUGGCACAGCGGAAACGAAUCCCACUAGGAACCAUGACGUCACGGGUUCUAUCCCUGGCCUUGCUCACUCGGUGGGUUAAGGAUCUUGUGUGGCCGUGAGCUGUGGUGUAGGUUGCAGACGCGGCUCGGAUCCCACGUUGCUGUGGCUGUGGUGUAGGCCGGCCGCUGUAGCUCCAGUUGGACCCCAGCCUGGGAACCUCCAUACGCCGUGGGUGCAGCCCUAUAAAGACAGCGAAAAAAGAAAGAAAGAAGUGAAAAACAGUUGUCUUCAAGGGCAGCUGUUCCCAAACGGGUCAGCGAUCCAAGGACACUGGUUGGAAUAAUGAAAUCUCAGAUCCUGUCUGCCUGCGAGGGGUGCCUUGUGUGUCUGAUGGACUCACUCAAGGAUAAUUAAAAUCAGCGAUGAUCUGGUCUCCUGGAAAUGGCUGUAACUGGUGCCAGGGCUUUAGACGGAAUCACAUCUUCCUUCAUCCUGCCCUGCCCCCCCCACCCCACCCCCCGCCCCAGCCCGUCUCCGAGCUAGCCUGGGGCUGAUUUUCUCCUUCAGAUGCAAGUCAGUAAGCAUUCAGGGGUUAGUCACUGGCAGCUUGGACAUGUGUCUGUUCCGUGGUCCCCGUGGAGGCGUGGUGAGUGGGUGGGCUUUUUUUCUCUUGCAAAGUAUCAGCCUCGGUGCUGUGUUAGCAAGAGUCCAAAAUAGCUCUUCUGUUUGCUUUGGGGAAAAAAAAAUAAUAAUUAAAAAAAUAAAGCCCUUUGUCUGUUGGCUGGUGGGUCCGAAAGGCAGACUCCACUCAGGAGCAUCUUCGAGUCUUGGCAUCUUGUAGUUUUUGCCCUGGAGGUGCAUGGUGUCUAGAGAGAUAACAGCAUUCCUCCAAACGCCACUAGGGUGGUUUUAAAAAAUCCCUCCGGAGUUCCCGUCAUUGUGGUGCAGUGGAAACGAAUCCGACUAGGAACCAUGAGGUUGCAGGUUCGAUCCCUGGCCUCGCUCCAUGGGUUAAGGAUCUAGCAUUGCCGUGAGCUGUGGUGUAGGUCGCAGAUGUGGCUCGAUCUGGCGUUGCUGUGGUUCUGAUGUAGGCUGGCAGCUACAGCUCCGAUUAGACCCGUAGCCUGGGAAACCCCAUAUGCCAUGGGUGGGGCCCUAAAAAG
rnacentral:lncRNA from 1 species